rnacentral:rRNA from 1 species
GGCGGCAUGCCUUACACAUGCAAGUCGAACGGCAGCACGGGAGCAAUCCUGGUGGCGAGUGGCGAACGGGUGAGUAAUAUAUCGGAACGUGCCCAGUCGUGGGGGGAUAACGUAGCGAAAGCUAAACGCUAAUACCGCAUACGAUCUACGGAUGAAAGCGGGGGAUCGCAAGACCUCGCGCGAUUGGAGCGGCCGAUAUCAGAUUAGGUAGUUGGUGAGGUAAAGGCUCACCAAGCCGACGAUCUGUAGCUGGUCUGAGAGGACGACCAGCCACACUGGGACUGAGACACGGCCCAGACUCCUACGGGAGGCAGCAGUGGGGAAUUUUGGACAAUGGGCGCAAGCCUGAUCCAGCAAUGCCGCGUGCAGGAUGAAGGCCUUCGGGUUGUAAACUGCUUUUGUACGGAACGAAACGGUGAGCUCUAAUACAGUUUGCUAAUGACGGUACCGUAAGAAUAAGCACCGGCUAACUACGUG